AGUACUAAAAAGGUAUAGGCCUGACCCAAAAGUUAGGGUAUCAGCCGACAGCUCAUAUGCUGUUUGAAGCUUUCGCAACUGCGAAGAAGUAUGAAAAAUACAAUGCAAGCAAAACUGUGGGCAGCUGCUGCGUGGCCGAACAGGCACCAACAUAUGUAUAACUCCACGACGAAGGCCUUCAUGAUGUUGUUGCUGUUGGUGAUGAUGAUGUUGAUGAUGAUAAUGAUUUUAAUGAUGAUGAUAAUAAUGAUUGUUUAUAUACCUUAAAAGGUAUAUACUUUUGUUUGGUUGUUCACAUACACACACAUUGUCAUAAUUAUUAUU